GAGAGGUUGGGUUUGGUUUGAAGAGGGAUGGAGGGAGAUUUUAAAGGGGUAGGAGGGGGUUGAGGCCUGGUUACCCGGUCAACUAGCUAUGUAACGUGAGAGGAAUCCACAGAAGACCGACCCACUUGUUUGAGCUAACAUUCUAGAACUUCAACCUGAUCUAGAUCACAAAUAUGUCUUGAUCGGAGCUGCUUCUGCAGUGAUUCUCUCUCUGCAAGAGGACUAAAGUUAGGCACUCAAACACCGAAUUAGAGAGAGACUCAUUUUUCACCAAAAAAGUUAACAUCUUUGGAUGAGCGUCAAGCACUUGUACUUCUACACCGACGUAAUAUAUUCAGUUCUCCUCACAAUUUGCUGGCUGGGCCUGAUGGACAAAUGAAAGCCAUGGGUGGACCACUUGGGAUGCGAAGUGGGUCUUCCACCUAGCCGCCUCCAGGUUUGAAUAUGGGUGGGGGCCUGGGCUUUGGUGUCCUGAGGAGUGGAGAGAGAGAGAGAUAGAUAGAGAGAGAGAGAGAGAGAGGCUGGAGAUAUUGGAGGAUAUCUUCAAAAAGUGGGAGGGGGAUGUAUCAGAAUAAGCAGCAGGAGCAACAGCAGCAUAAAGCGUAAAGUCUGAAAAUGUUGGAGGCUUACUCCCAGAGCAGGGACAGCCACCACAACUUGAAAGUGAAGCUAGAUCCUCUGCUACAAUAACCAGAAUUCUUUGCAAUUAGCAGCUCGGUAAACAUUAAGGUUUUGUUUGGGACGGCUUUCUUACUGUUCUUAAAAUAGUUUUUGUACUAUAAAGCCGCUUUAUGAAGUAGUAAAACAGCCGCCUCAAACAAAACCUAAAUUACUGUCCUUGUGUCUGCAAGUCAAGAGCUAUGAGUAUGGUACCUACCCUAUGAUGAGGGCCAUGGUGUAUCAUUUUGUGAAGCCCAUGUGAGGUGGGAUUUUUGGAAUCUUUUGUCUUCCUUAGCCAUGAGGGCUUCCUUGUUGUGACCUGCGAAGGGCAUAAUUCUCUGCGUUGUUAUUGUUGUGCUCUAUUAGUUUUCUCUGCUCAUUCGCUGUCUGCCCCUAUUUGAGCGCACCAAGUCUUAUUAACUGGUGAGUUAUGUUAUUGUAAAUGUAUCAAAUAUUGUAGAUUUGAUUUACUAUUGGUAAAUGACCUGAUUUUUGGUC